CAGCCGUAAACUAUGCGCGUUAGGUGUACUGGUGACCACGAGUCACCGGGGUGCCGAAGGGAAACCGUGAAACGUGCCGCCUGGGAAGUACGGUCGCAAGGCUGAAACUUAAAGGAAUUGGGCGGGGGAGCACCACAACGGGUGGAGCCUGCGGUUUAAUUGGACUCAACGCCGGAAAUCUCACCGGAUAGGACAGACAUAUGAUAGUCGGGCUGAAGACUCUACUUGAUGAUCUGAGAGGUGGUGCAUGGCGUCAGUGACU
rnacentral:rRNA from 1 species